rnacentral:rRNA from 1 species
UACGUAGGGGGCUAGCGUUGUCCGGAAUCAUUGGGCGUAAAGAGCGUGUAGGCGGCCCGGUAAGUCCGCUGUAAAAGUCAAAGGCUCAACCUUUGAAUGUCAGUGGAUACUGCCGGGCUAGAGUCCGGAAGAGGCGAGUGGAACUCCUGGUGUAGCGGUGGAAUGCGCAGAUAUCAGGAAGAACACCAAUGGCGAAGGCAGCUCUCUGGGACGGUACUGACGCUGAGACGCGAAAGCUAGGGGAGCAAACGGG